CCUACGGGAGGCAGCAGUAAGGAAUAUUGCUCAAUGGGAGAAAUCCUGAAGCAGCAACGCCGCGUGAGGGAUGAAGGGCUUAUGCUUGUAAACCUCUGUAGUGAGAGAAAAAAACCCGCCUCUGGCGGGCAUGAUGGUAUCUCAAAAGUAAGCCCCGGCUAACUACGUGCCAGCAGCCGCGGUAAU
rnacentral:rRNA from 1 species